rnacentral:misc_RNA from 1 species
GCCUAUCGUGUCACGGUCAUGUGACCUAACAAGGAUAAUAUUUUCCAUAAAAUUAAAAUAGUACUAUUUUGAAUCAACUACAUUUGACUCUCGAUUAAUAGUAAACAUUAUGUUUUUGUUAAAUAACUAUAUUUAGAACUAAUACUUAACUUCAUUUUUUAUGAACUAUAUACGCCAGGUUAAUUACUUAAAUUGACAGGAAUGUGUACAAGUUGAAACUCAUAGAUUUGUACAAAUAAUACUAAAGAAAUGUUUAUGAUAUUUAAUCAAUUUACCAACUCGCUCAUUAUUAUUUUUAUCUAUUAAAGAGAUGUACUAAUUUAUGAAUAUCACAGUAUAAAAUUUAGAACAAUUUUCAGUUUGGAGAAAGGACAAUAAAAAUGUUCAUAAUAGACGAAGUCAAUUCAUUUGGAGAGGAAAUAAUAAUCAUCGAGAAACAACGUUUACCUAAAUAUCUAAAACUAACUGCAGGAGGUCAUGAAUUUAUAAUCAAAACUCAAUUUGCCUGGUUAUGCUCCAGUACAAUAAGAAAGAUGCUCUCUGGUAAUUAUAAGGAAGGAACUGGAGAAAUAUUUACUGUCCGUUUCAAAGACAUGCAGUCUCAUAUACUUGAGAAAGUAUGCGUUUAUAUUAUGUUUAAGGCUCAUUACGCUUGUAGCUUCUCAGCGAUCCCUGAGUUUACUGUCGACCCGAAUAUAUCUCUUGACUUGCUUAUUGCUGCUCAUUAUCUGGAUUGUUAGUUUACUGAGCGUGUAGCUUGAUUUAUUAUACUUAAUCUAACUGACAAUUUUUAUUAAAAAAAAACUGUAUUAAAUGGAAAAAGAAAUCCUUGAAAAUUUUUACGAGUUUUACAGAAGAGAUAGCUAAUUACGAAAAGACAAAAAAAAUAUAAACAGGCCUAUAUAUAUAUAUGAAAAAAAUUGCUCAUGUCCAAAAUGGCUAGUAUCUAGCAUGAAAAUGAAAAAAUAUACUUGUAUAAAAGAAAUUAGUAGUAAUGAAGAUUAUGACUCAUCGCUGAGAAGUCGUAGACUCGUGAACAUUCAUUAUAGAUGUAUUCUGGAUGAGGGUGCAUUUCAGUAAUUGGAACAGGAACAAAUUGUUGCUGUAAAUGGUAUUGCAUUUGGGGAGGGUAUGAUGGUAUUGGGUGCAUGUAGGCAGGAGGCUGUUGCUGCGGUGGUUGCUGCCAUAACAAAAAUUCUGCUACUCUCCUAAUCAUUACGGCUGAUGACAUUAUCUUGGCGUGCUCAGAUUUUUCAUAGAGUUUUUCGGUUUUUGCACAUAAAGAUCCACCAGUUUUAAUGUCAACUCUACAAGUACAAGAAAAAUAUAUUUUUCCACUCUCAGUUACCGUCCUCUCAAAUAUCCAAAUGGGAGUUUCUAGUCUAUUUAAAUCAUCACCAAAUUUGCAAAAUGCCAAUAGCAUAUUAACAAAACCAUUUGGAUCAAAUCUUCGAGCUCCAAGAUGUGAUUGGCGAUCAGUUUCCAAUCCAGGUACAACGUCUAGACGAUAAAAUUUGAAGCGAUUCGUUAUCCUUUCAACUAGGGGAUUAGCCAUUUUAAAUUGAGCCUUUGAGAGAACAACUGAUAGUUCUUGACCUUUGAAGACUCUACCAUUCAUAAUCGAAACGGCGAGUACACCAUCUUCGCUUGUUUUCAUAUCGAUAAAGGCCGCUUCAUUAAAACAUUUCACGUUUGCCACGGCAUCCGGUUUUCCAAUUGCCUUAUUAAAUUCUUCGCAAAGCUCUUCAGGCGUUGUAUCGACCCCUACGUUCCUAACAAACAAGUGUUUCAUACUUUCCGGUCUUUCACCCAUAAAUGCAACAUUGACUUGCUUAUGCUCCGGUUCAGCCCAUUCGCCACAAAUAGUAACUCCACCAACUUUAACUUUCUUCUGAAUUAUUAAUUUUCUAGCUUUGGCUGCUAGACGAUUAUUUUCAAAUUGAAUAAAAGCGAAUCCCCUAUUACUAUAAUUAGGUGGAUUAGUGCUAUUCUUAUAUAUAGUUACGUCCACUACACCCGCUAAGACUUUUGAUAGAUCAUUGAGUAUUUCGUCUUUGGUCAGAGUCCUUUUUAUGCAAGUUAUAUACAACUCUCUAUUAUCGAUGCUUAUUUUUACCGAAAUGGGGCAACCGGGUCUAAUAUGAGCGCCAUUCAAAUUAUCAACAGCCGCUUUGGCGCCUUCGGUCGAUGUAUACUUUACAAAAGCGAAACCUUGGGUGUUUAGUGCAUCCCAAUCUUCCAUCAUUAACCUUGUCUCAUACAAUUCUCCGACAGUACUAAAGAAAGGUACCAACUCAUCUUCCAAUAAAUUACGGGGUAGUGAAUUAACAAAAACUUCCGAACCUCUUUCCGGAUUAAAAGUCUUUAGUGGUGGCCUUGGUCCAAAAGUUCUUUGUCUUUUCUCGCGGUAAAUGGUACAGUCGAACUUCUUGCAUACAUCUUCAAUUUUAUCUUCAAGAACUAUCUCUCUUCUUUCUUUAGCUGCCAUGUCAAUGCUUCACCACCAAAUGACAGACGUAAUAACCCACUUUUGGUAUGGCGUGGGAACUUUCUGGAUAAAAAAUUGACUUUCAAUUGCUGAUUGGCUAGUUCACUAUCUUAAGUUGCUAAUAGGCUUUGAUUACGGUAGAUAGUUGCUCUGUGAUAUAAAUACCCCCUCUAAUUUUCCCAUGGAACUUUUAAAUUUUCUUUGUUUCCCACAAGAAUUACGCAGAACUUUCUAGAAUUUCAUCAUGUCUGGUCUGGCAGCCGACGUACUCACAGACAGACAGACAGGCGUCACCCUUUUUUUAU